rnacentral:rRNA from 1 species
AUUGAACGCUGGCGGCAGGCCUAACACAUGCAAGUCGAGCGGUAGAGAGAAGCUUGCUUCUCUUGAGAGCGGCGGACGGGUGAGUAAUGCCUAGGAAUCUGCCCGGUAGUGGGGGAUAACGUUCGGAAACGGACGCUAAUACCGCAUACGUCCUACGGGAGAAAGCAGGGGACCUUCGGGCCUUGCGCUAUCAGAUGAGCCUAGGUCGGAUUAGCUAGUUGGUGAGGUAAUGGCUCACCAAGGCGACGAUCCGUAACUGGUCUGAGAGGAUGAUCAGUCACACUGGAACUGAGACACGGUCCAGACUCCUACGGGAGGCAGCAGUGGGGAAUAUUGGACAAUGGGCGAAAGCCUGAUCCAGCCAUGCCGCGUGUGUGAAGAAGGUCUUCGGAUUGUAAAGCACUUUAAGUUGGGAGGAAGGGUUGUAGAUUAAUACUCUGCAAUUUUGACGUUACCGACAGAAUAAGCACCGGCUAACUCUGUGCCAGCAGCCGCGGUAAUACAGAGGGUGCAAGCGUUAAUCGGAAUUACUGGGCGUAAAGCGCGCGUAGGUGGUUUGUUAAGUUGGAUGUGAAAUCCCCGGGCUCAACCUGGGAACUGCAUUCAAAACUGACUGACUAGAGUAUGGUAGAGGGUGGUGGAAUUUCCUGUGUAGCGGUGAAAUGCGUAGAUAUAGGAAGGAACACCAGUGGCGAAGGCGACCACCUGGACCAAUACUGACACUGAGGUGCGAAAGCGUGGGGAGCAAACAGG